GUGCUCGCUUCGGCAGCACAUAUCCUAAAAU
rnacentral:snRNA from 1 species